AGGGGACUAAAAUCAGAACAAGGGGAGGAAGGAGGAGGAGGAGGAGGAAGGAGGCGUCCCUCCUCUCACCCCACCCUGGCCCUCUCCGGCCCUCCCCAGGGCUGACGGGGGUUUGAGGGCCCCUUGGCUGUGCUGAUGAAUCACCAGACCGAGUCGCCUCUUAACCAGGCCGGCUUCACCCAGCAUGAGGACACGGCCCGGUGCUCUAGGUGUAGAGGACGCGUGCGCUGGCCGUCAGGAUGUUUCCAUGGAGACGGAGGGGUGGGUGACGGCGUGAACCGGGGAGACAUGUUACCGAGGGAACCCUCUUCAGAGGUCGCCGACCACCCAGGGGAGGGAGGGAGCGAUUCUACCCGAGCAGCUCAGCGUGUCCACGGGGCGACCCCACCUCCAGCUCCUCUAGGUGGGGUGGUUGAGGUCCGUAGAGGACCCAGGCUGGUCCUCCCAGAGCCCUGUACACACUGCAGACAACCGGUACCCCCCACGACUACAGCGCCCCGGCCUUCUGGGCCCCCGACCUCAACGCUACACGGCUCAAACCAAUCGGUGAGCAGCAAGAGGGGCCAGGGUGGGGACAGUCGGUCCCCAUCCACCGCUGAGGCUAUGGACAACGGUGAGGAAGACAAGAAGAACCUUUGUGCGGUAAAACAGAGAAAUAUAAUUAUCAUUGGCGAUCACUCAGGGGUCAACCUCCUUCCUGGGCCUGCUGCUGGCCUGCCUCUCGUGCCAGUGCUCCGUGGUGCUGCUGGGUCUUCUGGAGGCGUGCUCCGCCUGCCUGCACCACCUCUGCGCCUGCUGCUGCCACUGCUGCGCCCAGUGCUGCGCCGAGGCGUGCGACGCGUCGGCCGAGACGUUCAGCUGCCACGCCCACUGCCACGCCGUGGUGUUCGAGUCCUGCUGCGAGUCCACCGAGUGCCUGGAGUUCUGCCUGGACUGCUGCCUCAUCUGCCAUCACAGCUGACCCCCCCCCUCCUGUGGCAAUCGGAGCCCUUAGGGCUUUACGUCCACGUUGGGGACCAUGUCGUGGCUCCUCCCACACAGAGGCGUCGCCUAAAAUGUGGCUCUGCCCACGUGACUGUUCUUCUUACAACAUUGUGAAAUUUUUCGAUGGAAAAUGUAUGGGGAUUUCACAGGGAUAUGUGUGCUUUUGUUGAUUUAAUUGAGCUGUUGAGUCUAACUUGAAAUUACAAAAUAGCUGAUGAAUGAGUGCCAUUGUCAUAUGGUCCCUUUCAAAGUCAAUUCCCUAGAAAAUCUUCAAUGAAAUGGAAAAGGAAACUACAAUAACCAAGCAGUAUAUUUAUAAUUGUCGUUAGUCACUCUUUGACUUAACCUACAUUUUAAUCACCAACAAUUUUAGGGCAGAGAUCUAUUACACUAAAAAGUGAUUAUUACUAUUAAUUAUAACCACCGAUCACCCUCCUACAAUACAACAGUCCUACAGAAUGAACUGAAACCCAGCUGUUGUUAACCAAAGUGUGCAGGGCUUUCUUAUACAAACACAAAACAAUACACUGAAGUUACACGUUUAAUAUUUGAAUGCACUGAUUCAUUAAGCGCGGACACAGAUUUAGUCAGGGUCAGUUUUGCGCACCAUAUUAAAUAUUUCUGAGUAAACAGCAGUAGCCAUAACACAGUGGGAUUCAUUAGCGCCACAAUGAAGCUGCUCUCGUUCCAAAACAAACAACCUCCAGCCGAUUCCUCCGAGUCAUUUCAUAGUAGUCCGAGAAACAUGAACCCAUGUAUAGAAGCUAUUUGUUAGAUAUGGAGGAUUCCCUGCCGAAUAUAUUGUGGUAUGUGCUAAGAAACACAUUCUCCACACAUCAAUUAAAGCUCUUCCAAAUCAAAAGAGAGGAUGGUAUACAAUCUUAUUUAUUUAGCGAGUUUUGGGGAAAAUAUAAAAUUCAGUGUUUUCUACUCAAGGUUUUGCGUUGAUUUAUUAAUCAGUAGCUCUUUGUCAAGGACAUUUUCUGUCUCUCUCCAGAUCAUAGGAUAACAUCUUUCACCUCAAUGUGAGAAAUAAUUCAACAAUGAUGUAUAAUUAACUCAUUGCACCCUGCAGUGCCAACGAAACCCUACUUCUCCACUCUGUCGAGUAAUCACAUAUGGCACAACAAAAGAUUUUGUCCUCACCAAACCCCCCAAAGAAUACAUCGGCCCACACAUCAGUUUAAUGUCGGUGCAUAUUAACUUUGUACAUGAAAUAGCCAUGCACAGAUUGAACUCUGACCUCUGUGUGUCUCUUGAUGAAGGGGGGCAUGCUUUGGGCUCUACGUUCAGAUGAGGGUUUCUCAUGUCGUGUAGAAAGACUCCUGCUUUGAAUGGCUCCUGCAUCGCUCUUUGCAGCUGAAGAACGAGGUGAUGUGAAACUUGUCAGUCGCUUCUUAACUCCCCAUCCUCCACCUCCUUCCUACUCCUCCUCCUCCUCCUCCUGAAUCGCUUGCUUGCUUCUCUCGUAACAUGAAAGGACCACGUGCCGUUUAUUCUCCCCAGAUCUCCGGAGUCGGCCCUUCUGAGCUCUCAUUGUUUUCUCCGCGCGUGAUGACAGUGAAGAUAGCCAAAAAUAAAACAAAGGCGUGCACUUACAAGACAACACUAAACUGUCAAUCUGCACGACGCAAAUGAAGAGGCUCGUUUAAAGUGUGUCAUCACAACGGAAUCGAAUCAAAGGGUUUACUUUACCAACAACGGCUUGGGAUUCUGCUGCUGCCGGUGACAUGAGGCCGUGGUGACAUCUGAUUUGGAGUAGCGACCACAGCACAGCGAAUGUUACACACGUUUUGUUCCGUUUGUCCCGCUCAAUUUGUUACAGCGGUACCGUAACACUCGAGGCCAUUAUGUGUGCAGAGGAAAUAAUAGCCCCAUAGCACAGGAACAAUGAAUGCUUAAUCUGUAGGUGUAGAGAAGGCCUGACAAAUCAGGAUUAUUAGUGUGUCUGAAUGUGAAGGCUUGCAGUAGUGUUGGACAGUAGAUGUGGUCGAUCAGUAAAACAAACAGAAUAAUUAAUAAUCUGUACACACUGCAUUAGGCCUAGAACUAUCAUGUCCAGGUAUGCAUACGAUUUGUGUUGCGUUUAACAGUGAUUGUUCACAUUGCCCAAAUGUGGCACUAUUUGAAGUGAAAAUUAUUUGAAAAACUAAAAGUAUUUUCUGACACAACCACACAGACACACGCACAUAAUGAGGGGAUAUGGUGACGGUUGUCCGCAGUGAGUAACGGCGAGUGGACUACACAUAAAAGAUGACCCACUGGUGAACAGAAGGCUAUGUUUUAAAACUCGAGUCGUUUCUUUUCUUCUUCCAAAAACCAAAAACCUUUGAGCACAUUUGCAGAAGACCGUGUGUCUAUUUGUAUUCCUCCACGCCACCCUAAAGCUCAGUGACAAUGUUUGUAACCUUCUCAAUCAAAACAAAGGUUUGCGUGUUGCGUGUGUGUGAAGUAGCGUCUUUAAAAACAAAGAAUAAAAAGAAAAACCAUAACAGCUAAUAGUCAGUCUGUCAUGUGUACCCACUUGCUGUAAACGAAACAAAAAUAAACGUAACAGGAUUUGAAUAUCUAACAUUUGAGCCUGACAGAGAGGGCAGAUCAAAGCGGGGAGAGACACGCGUGUGGGAACGAAUCGUCAACACAUUGUCUCGUUUUAAUAAAUGAGGGGAAUGGUUUCCGUCAAGCCCCUGCGCGCCAUGCGAAUUUGUGCGGGGUACGAGUAGGCGUAUCAAAACUUAAGAUAAUGAGGGUUAGGCAAUCGGUCUGCAUGAAUUAUUGAUGCUUUUCUUACCUCAUUUCAUCUAGGAAUGAGAGGCCUUGGACGCGCCGGGAAAAGCAUGCAGCGUAAUUGCGUCGGGGCGUUUUCCGAGGAUUGAUCCCGGAGUAACGGAGGUAAAUAUACUAAAUAUAAUAUAACAAAGAUUUAUUUACCAUAUUAACGCGGUUGCUAAUGAGUGCCGUCGUCAUUUAUUCAUCGACUAUGAAAACAAAAACAAAGAUGCUUGAAUACAAU
ensembl:lncRNA